rnacentral:rRNA from 1 species
UUGAACGCUGGCGGCAGGCCUAACACAUGCAAGUCGAGCGGUAGCACAGAGAGCUUGCUCUCGGGUGACGAGCGGCGGACGGGUGAGUAAUGUCUGGGAAACUGCCUGAUGGAGGGGGAUAACUACUGGAAACGGUAGCUAAUACCGCAUAAUGUCGCAAGACCAAAGUGGGGGACCUUCGGGCCUCAUGCCAUCAGAUGUGCCCAGAUGGGAUUAGCUAGUAGGUGGGGUAACGGCUCACCUAGGCGACGAUCCCUAGCUGGUCUGAGAGGAUGACCAGCCACACUGGAACUGAGACACGGUCCAGACUCCUACGGGAGGCAGCAGUGGGGAAUAUUGCACAAUGGGCGCAAGCCUGAUGCAGCCAUGCCGCGUGUGUGAAGAAGGCCUUCGGGUUGUAAAGCACUUUCAGCGGGGAGGAAGGCGUUAAGGUUAAUAACCUUGGCGAUUGACGUUACCCGCAGAAGAAGCACCGGCUAACUCCGUGCCAGCAGCCGCGGUAAUACGGAGGGUGCAAGCGUUAAUCGGAAUUACUGGGCGUAAAGCGCACGCAGGCGGUCUGUCAAGUCGGAUGUGAAAUCCCCGGGCUCAACCUGGGAACUGCAUUCGAAACUGGCAGGCUAGAGUCUUGUAGAGGGGGGUAGAAUUCCAGGUGUAGCGGUGAAAUGCGUAGAGAUCUGGAGGAAUACCGGUGGCGAAGGCGGCCCCCUGGACAAAGACUGACGCUCAGGUGCGAAAGCGUGGGGAGCAAACAGGAUUAGAUACCCUGGUAGUCCACGCCGUAAACGAUGUCGAUUUGGAGGUUGUGCCCUUGAGGCGUGGCUUCCGGAGCUAACGCGUUAAAUCGACCGCCUGGGGAGUACGGCCGCAAGGUUAAAACUCAAAUGAAUUGACGGGGGCCCGCACAAGCGGUGGAGCAUGUGGUUUAAUUCGAUGCAGCGCGAAGAACCUUACCUGGUCUUGACAUCCACAGAACUUUCCAGAGAUGGAUUGGUGCCUUCGGGAACUGUGAGACAGGUGCUGCAUGGCUGUCGUCAGCUCGUGUUGUGAAAUGUUGGGUUAAGUCCCGCAACGAGCGCAACCCUUAUCCUUUGUUGCCAGCGGUUAGGCCGGGAACUCAAAGGAGACUGCCAGUGAUAAACUGGAGGAAGGUGGGGAUGACGUCAAGUCAUCAUGGCCCUUACGACCAGGGCUACACACGUGCUACAAUGGCAUAUACAAAGAGAAGCGACCUCGCGAGAGCAAGCGGACCUCAUAAAGUAUGUCGUAGUCCGGAUUGGAGUCUGCAACUCGACUCCAUGAAGUCGGAAUCGCUAGUAAUCGUAGAUCAGAAUGCUACGGUGAAUACGUUCCCGGGCCUUGUACACACCGCCCGUCACACCAUGGGAGUGGGUUGCAAAAGAAGUAGGUAGCUUAACCUUCGGGAGGGCGCUUACCACUUUGUGAUUCAUGACUGGGGUG